rnacentral:rRNA from 1 species
AACGCUGGCGGCGUGCCUAACACAUGCAAGUCGAACGAGAAAGCUGGUAGCAAUACUGGUGAGUAAAGUGGCGACCGGGUGAGUAACACGUGGACAACCUACCUUUGAGUGGGGAAUAACCCUGGGAAACCGGGGCUAAUACCGCAUAACAUUUCAUGACGAUGGUUGUGGAAUUGAAACCCGUAAGGGGCUCGUUGAGGGAUCCGCGGCUGAUUAGCUAGUUGGUGAGGUAACGGCCCACCAAGGCUUUGAUCGGUAGCCGGCCUGAGAGGGCGGACGGCCACACUGGAACUGAAACACGGUCCAGACUCCUACGGGAGGCAGCAGUGGGGAAUUUUGCGCAAUGGGGGAAACCCUGACGCAGCAACGCCGCGUGGAUGAUGAAGACCCUUGGGUUGUNAAAUCCUUUCGGCAGGGACGAAUCAAUUGACGGUACCUGAA